rnacentral:rRNA from 1 species
UACGUAGGUGGCAAGCGUUGUCCGGAUUUACUGGGCGUAAAGAGCGCGCAGGCGGCCAAGUCAGUCGAAUGUGAAAGCCCCCGGCUUAACUGGGGAGGGUCAUUCGAUACUGCUCGGCUCGAAGACAGGAGAGGGAAGCGGAAUUCCCGGUGUAGUGGUGAAAUGCGUAGAUAUCGGGAGGAACACCAGUGGCGAAAGGCGGCUU